UGUGAAGGUUGGGAGCUGGCAGACCUGAGUCCUGAUCUGAACAUUCCUUUUCCCAAAGAGGCUGCAAGCUGUCCAAAGACAGGAGAUAAGCCCCUGGCCAGAGGAUGGAAUAUUUCCAGAUCCAAAUCAGCCAGAAAAGAAGUGAGACUGCGAGACAAACAGCAGAGCUCUCGAGUUUCAUCUGUCUGAGGAAUGUUCCUGUCAUAUGAUGGGGACCAGGCUGCCAUUCCCAGGCACUGGGAGCCUUCUGGUUCCAUCCUGCUCCAGGCUGUGCCUCUUGCUGCAGGGUAGAGUUAAUGAAGGAUUUCAAAGAGAAGGCAGGAAUUUCACUCCAGCUUCACACAUCUCACCAGCACUGCAGGAGAUAUUCCAUGUGCUCCAUGGCAGGAAUUCCAAGGUCAGUGGCUCGUGCUGUCAUUGUCUGUCCUUGUUUUAUCCCAGCUCGUGGCCGUGGCUUUGUAAAGCCACCACUCUCCCUCAGCUCGUUUGUUCGAGGUUCUGACAGCAGCAGGAAAGAUUCCCAAAUCCCUGCUCUGGAUGGAGGUGCUGUCAGCAAUCAGUGGGCUUGGCAAACAGUGGCAGAGAUUUGGGGUGUUUGCUAAUCCUGGUCUAACACAGCCAUAAAAGCAUUAAUAAAAAUCAGAGAGAAAACCUCAGGAAUUCCUUUCCCGCUGCUUCCAGUCCAAAGCAGGGGUGGCUUUGAAUUUGCAGCGCUCUGAAGGAGGAAUGGCAGAGGCUCUCCUGGAUUUGGAACUUUGAAUCAAAUAAAAAAGGUUGGAAAAGACCUCCAAGAUCACCAAAUCCCAGCUUCAACCAAAUCCCACUAUUCUUACAAAUUUGCUUGGGUUUUGGACACUUUUUGGAUGCUUUUUGGACACUUGUUCCCUUGGUGCCACCACCAUCCCUAAACUGAGCUUUUUAAGGGUUUCCUGCUGCCAAGGAUGAAUUUCUCACAUCCAAAAAGCUCAUUUUUCACAUCCAGCCUAUGAACUGGUCCUGUUGGCAUUGCCAGCUCAGGGGAAGGGUUAUGGAGAACAUUCCAGAAGAAGGGUGCAGCCAGGAAACAGUGUCAGGAUGAGAGGAAAUGGCCUCAAGUUGCCCCAGGAGAGGCUUAGAUUGGAUAUUAGGGAAAAUUUCUUCAUGGAAAGGGUUGGAAAGCCCUGGAAUGGGUGGUAGAGUCCCCAUCCCUGGAAAAAUUACAAAAAUGUGUGGAUGUGGCACUGGGGGAUGUGGUGCUGGACUUGAUCUUAAUGGUCUUUCCCAGCCUCAACAAUUCCAUGAUUCAGUGGGCUUUGACUUGUACAGGAAGACAGAAUGAAAUAUCUAAAGAAACCAAAAAAAAUAUCCAAAGAAACCAAAGAAAUAUCAAAACCAACCAAAGAAAUAUCAAAACCAACCAAAGAGACUUUAAAACAAACCCCCCCAAAACCCCCUGAAAUUCUGCUGUGAACUUGAACCUGUGGCUCCUCAACCUGAGUUGGAAUCCAGAGCCAACUUUUGGAGCCUUCCUGGUGUGUCUGUGUUGAUAAGAGAGGAGGAGAAUGGCCCAGAGAGGAUUAAACCCCUGAGCAAAUACCCCAGGCAAUCUCUGCCUUUGUGCCUGUGGCCAUUCUGGGUUAAACAUUUCCAAGCUCCUUUCUUAAAAUAGAUCAGGAAGAGAUUUCUGAGCUCGGAUCUGAUUCCCACCAAAAUUAAUGUGGUUUUUUUCCCUCUUGUUUUCAAUCAUAAAAAUGUAAAAAGGACACAGUAACCUUGGAAGCUUUUAAAGUUACAAAUCUGAAGCCAGAUUUUUUAUUUUUUAAAAUUUCAUAAAACUUCAGGCAAAUAUUUUUUUAGAAAAAUAUUUUGGUUUUCUUCCGAGCAUCUUGGCUUUGGGCAGUCUUGGGCUAAAGGUGCCAGAAUGCUCCAAGAAAAGCUGAUUUUGCUCUAUUUCCACAUUUCCUGGUGCCAUGAAGUGGUAAAACAGAGUUAAUGAGAAAGAAAUAUUCAGGAAUAAGAUGUUUGGAGAUGCACUUGCCCAAGCACUUACUAAAUGAACCUUGUAACUUUUAAGGACUCUUGUCAGCUAUGGAACAGGGGAAAAAGUGAAUAAAAAUUUUAUAUUGUUUA